rnacentral:sRNA from 1 species
GGAAAGGACUUAUGGAGCAAGAGGGGUUCACAGAAACCUGCCAGGGUGAGGCAGCCGGGAAUGAAGGGAAAUCCCAAGAAGCCAAAUGCCAACCUGAGAGAAAGUACAACAGAAGGUACCCUUCAUCUCUGCUAUGCCAAAGAAUCUGCUAAGCACCCACUAACCCAGAGUGAUAAAAGAGAGACUUCUCACACCACAGCAGCAGCAACUGGUCGGAAUUCCCAUGCUGAUGCAAGAGAAUGUGCUAUUUCAACCCAGGCAGAGCAAGAAGCAAAAACCCUUCAAACUUCAACAGACUCAGUCUCCAAAGAAGGCAACACAAAUUGCAAGGGAGAAGCCAUGCAAGUUAAUACUCUAUUUGAAACAAGCCAGGUUCCAGACUGGAGUGAUCCUCCUCAGGAAUUUUAUCAUUGAAAUGGAAGAGGAUGAUACAGUGGUGACCUUCCACACUCUGUCCUGGAGCAGUGUUGUUAGUUAAGUUUCAUCCACUUGGCUAUUAGCAUAACUUGUCAAGAAUUGUUAUCUAUCUUUUCCAUGUACAUCUUGUCUCUUCAACUGGAUUAUAAGCUAUUCGAGGAGAGGGAUCUUAUCUCAUACAACCUUCUAUUGUUAGUGACUCAAAUUAGUGUCAUGCACUUGGCUGGCAUGAAAGACAUUCAUUAAUGAUGAAAAGCAUAACCUUGAACAUCCUGGGGUGCACAAAGAGGAAACACACCUUUCCAUUAAAUCCAUGGCAGACAUUCCUAGGACGCAGAACUUUUGGAAAGGCCAAUAAGUGAAAAUAAUAUGUUUGUGGAAUCGGAGGCAUGUUGAAUGGGGUUUCAAUUGAAAAAUGCUAU